CAGUAGCCGCGGUAAAACGUAGGUGGCAGGCGUUGUCCGGAAUUAUUGGGCGUAAAGGGCUCGCAGGCGGUUUCUUAAGUCUGAUGUGAAAGCCCCCGGCUCAACCGGGGAGGGUCAUUGGAAACUGGGAAACUUGAGUGCAGAAGAGGAGAGUGGAAUUCCACGUGUAGCGGUGAAAUGCGUAGAGAUGUGGAGGAACACCAGUGGCGAAGGCGACUCUCUGGUCUGUAACUGACGCUGAGGAGCGAAAGCGUGGGGAGCGAACAGGAUUAGAUACCCGUGUAGUCCCUGUCUCUUAUAC
rnacentral:rRNA from 1 species